rnacentral:rRNA from 1 species
AGAGUUUGAUCAUGGCUCAGGAUAAACGCUGGCGGCGCACAUAAGACAUGCAAGUCGAACGGACUUAAUCGAUUCUUUUAGAUUCGAAGCGGUUAGUGGCGGACUGGUGAGUAACACGUGAGCAACCUGCCUAUUAGAGGGGAAUAACAGUGAGAAAUCACUGCUAAAACCGCAUAUGCCGUGAACAUCGCAUGAUGAAAACGGGAAAAGAGCAAUCUGCUAAUAGAUGGGCUUGCGUCUGAUUAGCUAGUUGGUGUGGUAAAGGCAUACCAAGGCAACGAUCAGUAGCCGGACUGAGAGGUUGAACGGCCACAUUGGGACUGAGAUACGGCCCAGACUCCUACGGGAGGCAGCAGUCGGGAAUAUUGCGCAAUGGAGGAAACUCUGACGCAGUGACGCCGCGUAUGGGAAGAAGGUUUUCGGAUUGUAAACCAUUUUAGACAAGGAAGAAAGAAGACAGUACUUGUAGAAUAAGCUCCGG